rnacentral:rRNA from 1 species
GUGGAUUAGAUACCCUAGUAGUCCACGCCCUAAACGAUGUCAACUAGUUGUUGGGUGGGUAAAACCAUUUAGUAACGUAGCUAACGCGUGAAGUUGACCGCCUGGGGAGUACGGCCGCAAGGUUAAAACUCAAAGGAAUUGACGGGGACCCGCACAAGCGGUGGAUGAUGUGGAUUAAUUCGAUGCAACGCGAAAAACCUUACCUACCCUUGACAUGUUCAGAAUCCCGGAGAGAUUUGGGAGUGCCCGAAAGGGAGCUGGAACACAGGUGCUGCACGGUCGUCGCCAACU